AUGGAAUAUGAGAGAGAGAGAGAGAGAGAGAGAGAGAAAAGGAUAGAGAGAACAUGUCACAACUUGUACACCAUUAAAUGCAGUAAUAACUUACGAUUCACAAUUGGCAAAACAGUGAUCAAACUUCAUAGGAAUUCUAUUGUGAAACCAUCUAAACAAAUAAAGACUAAACCUCA